GCACCGCCUUUGAGCCCUCGCUGCGCCUGCGCGUGGCGCCAGGGACCCAGGCUGCGGCGCCAGAGCCCGCGCUUGCGCGUCGCGGGACAGACGAUCCCAGCGGUGGCGGCGGCGGCACUUUUAACCGUAAGCCGCACUG